rnacentral:misc_RNA from 1 species
ACUCAGAUCGCGCCCCCUUCUCGCGUUCUUCUCUCCUCUGUGCUGUUUCUCUCGUGUCCUCUCCGCAAUUUUUUUCUUUGCUGCGCUCGUCUGCUGCUAUCGUGAAGGCUGAUACGUGCGGGCAUCGCUACACCCAACCGCCCCUCCCUCUUUCCCUCCCUCUCCCGGUCCCACCUUGCGUCCCUCACACAGGCACACGAUAAGCUCACGCGCACCUGCUUUCACGCUAGCACAGCCCUGCCAAUCACCAUUGUUUAUUUUGGACAAACUUCUUCGGCAUUCAGCAGCAGCAGCACCGCCACCACCACCGCACGCCCUCUCGCACAUACCCUCACACACACACACACACACACGCACACGCACACGCCUCGCGCCCUCAGUGCUUCGCCUGCUCUCACUCUCUCUCUGCCUGCUCACAGAGUUGAAGGGCAACGCGUAAGCGCGGUCUCCCGUCAUCCCAAUAUGGCGACCAAGCUCCAGCAGCCGAACUCCCCUGUCGCGGCGGAUGCAACCACCGCGGCGGCCCCCUCGGAGUCGGUCACUACCAAUUGCGAUGUCGCCGCUGCCGAUACCCCCUUCGCGGACACCACCAGUCCGACGUCGGCCAUGAAAUUCCCCGUCCCUUUCAUGUCCUCCAACGACGGCCUCUCCGAGGACACGGUCACGUACAUCAAGGACAACAACAUUGGGCAGCUGAUGGAGUACAUCUUGCGUUGCAUCAUCGCCGACAAACCAACCAAGCCGCUCCAAUAUGUGCAUGAGUUGACGGCCUCGCCGCUGCCACCGCGGGUGGCCCUGGCUGGGCCGCCAGCAAGCGGCAAGGGCACGCAGGCGCGCCAUAUCUGCUCCUAUUACAAGCGCACGAUUGGCAAGAAGCCAGUGCAUGUCUCAUCGGGCGAUCUUCUUCGCGCUGAGGUGGCUCAGGGCACCCACCUGGGCAAGAUUGCCGAGAACUUCAUGCGGCGCGGUGAGCUCGUGCCGGAUAGCCUCAUCAUCAGCAUUAUCCGCAACCGACUGACGCAGGAGGACGCGGUGAUGAACGGGUGGCUGCUGGACGGCUUCCCGCGCACCCGCUCUCAAGCGAUUGCGCUGGACGCCGCAGGCCUGUGCCCCCGCAUCUUUGUGGUCCUCGACACCCCAGAUGAUGUUUUGUUCGGCCGCGUCGAAGGCCGUCGCACCGACCCGGUCACCGGCAUCAUCUACCACCUCACGUAUAACCCGCCGCCGGAGAACGACACGGUGCUGCUCGAGCGGCUGCAGCACCGCGACGAUGACACCCGCGAGGUGCUUGGCCCUCGUCUGGAGACAUACCACUCAAUGGUCGAGGGUCUGCUGGACUACUACGGAUCCAUCAUGUAUCACGUCGACGGGAACCGACCGGAGGCAGCCAUCACAAAGGACAUUACCGAGUACCUCCAAAACCACGAUGUUGCGUAGUCAAGAGAGAACGAAACGCGCAGGUAAAAAACAGAACGAGAGGGAGGAAGGCAGUCAUGGAUGCGAGAGAAGUGUCGGAGGGCGAAAGGCGGAGGAGGACGGACGCCGCCGAGCGAGGUGGCACAAUACUGCAUGGCCGGAUGCUCUUGAUGUAGCGGCUCAGCCGAAGACGACGACGGAAAGCAACAAAACAAAAAAUGGUAGAAAAGAAAGAGAGAAUGCGGCCCGCCUACACACACGCGCGCACACAAGGGCCAUACGUAUGCCUUUGUGCGCCUGUGUGUGUGUGCCUCCGUGCGCCAUCUACCCGUUGUGGGGGCCGCUGCUGAUGGUCUUGGCCGUGGUGUUGGUGGUGCCUUCUGCACGUGUUUCUCCGUAUGGACCGUUGUGUGCGUGUGUGUGCCCCUCUCUCUCUCCUCUCUUCUCCAUGGUUUAGUGUGCACACAUGUGCCGACUGACGAGCGCACGGGCUGGUGUACGAGCGAAAGAGAAAGGUGUCUUCAGCGAGGGAUAGCGGGCGGAGGUGGGGAAGGGCGGCGACAGCGGCGGCGGGAUACAGAACUAUGGCGCUGGGGGGGGGGGGGGGGGUCUGCCUCCAGUGUGGCGAUUGGCGGCAUUGAACACGAAGUGAAGAAGCAGAGGAGAACUGAUUGCACCGCGCAUGCUACGCCAGCGACCAUAUCUCCCCCUUCCUCAUAGCGCUGCCAACUACGCUAUUCGCAGCGUUUUGUAGGCAGACCAUACCGGCGUGGCCUCCCUCCCUCCCAUCCCUUCAUCAGCCAUCCAUCCAUUCAUCCAUCCACGCAUCCCCCGCCGCCCACCUGAAACGGACCCCAAAGCGCGUCGCCUCUCUUCUGUGUGUGUGUGUGCUAAUGAUGAUGUACAUGUGCUUGGAUGUUUUUUAUAUUUUUUUGUUCUCACCCUUCUUCCUUCUCCCGCUGGCUUCGCGCCCCCCCCCUCCACCCUGAUGAUGCCAGUCACCUCAAUGCGUGAUAUCGCAGGGUCCAGUACCACCGCAUCCCCCUCACCUCCCCCACUCCCGACUCUCUGCGUGUGUGAGGGAGGAAGACCAGCAGCCCCCCUCCCCAAGCCUUCCCAAUGCCAAACCACUCGUGUUGGUGGCAGGGUCGUGGAAGGCGUUGCGCCGGAGCCACCUGCGACAGUGAACAGUUUUGUACCGUCCAUGUGAUAGGCAUAGUGUCAACCUGAUUCGAGCGUAUCUCGCCUGGCCCUCACACUGCCUACUGGCUGUGGGAGCCUGAGUGCUGCUGCGAGGGGUAUGCCCCAGGUGGUCGCCGGUAUAGUGGGGGAGCGUCUGUGACGCAACCUAAGAAAUGGAGAGGGGCUAUGGGUAGAGGUCGAGGCAGAGGCUGUGCUCCGAUGACUGCGUCGGCGCCUUGCUGGACUGGCGUGUGUCGACGGCUGCCAUGGCCCCACGCGAGGUGGGGUCUGUGUGGCAGGGCCAAGUGGUGUGAAGCUCACGUUCUGUUAUAUGGCGGCAACAUGUACCCACGUGGUAGGUAAGGUAUAUAUACACGUGUAUACACCCUUGCGUGCCGCUCUCCCACUGUCUGCUCGACUCUGUCGCGGCCGGCCUGUGUCUCUCUGCACAGUGAGUGAGGUAUUCGCUUCCUUCACCUCUUUUUUUGUGCUUGUCUUUGAUUGUAGCUUUCCUUUUUCGCCCUCACUCCGCCCCCUUUUCCGGACCCACGCCGUCCCGCUUGUGUCUGCACGUGCGUGUGUGCGUGGGGGGGGGGGGUAUGUGUGAUGAUGUGCUGAGGAGUGCGUGUCGCAUAUCUGUGCCUGUCCUUCUGAUGUAUAUGUGUUUCAUGUAGCGAACCGUGGGGCUCUUCUUGUUGUGGGCUUGCGCGUUGCCUCGAGCAUGUGCCUCAGGGCACACGCACCUGCUUCCACGCACUACCAAGUGAACCAGCCAUCACACAUACACACACACACAUGUCCGCACAUGCGGGGCAACAAGCACUUCCUGCAAGCAAGCGCUGACACGCCGGAUAGG